UUGACCUCAACCAUCCUCACCAGUCACCACCGGUCCGCCGCUGCACCGCACACGAGCAUGACAGCUCCAUGCCUCCACCAUCCAGCAGCUCCACGGUUCCACCGUCCGGCAUCCGGCAUCUAGCCAGGAGCCCACCGACACCCCGUCGUCCAUCUCUUCUGAUUCUGCACUGCCAUUGGUAUCACUGUAUCAGGUACUCUCUUCAUCUCAUGACCUCAUUCUCACAGGCUCACCGCCACACAGCCUGCCUCUUUUGGGCCUCUGCCUCUUUUUCCACCCAUACUGAGAAUGCAUUUCUUAAGCAACCUAAAGUCUUUCUAAGGUCAAUGAUGGCUCUUGUCUCUUAAAUAUGCAAUGCGUGAUCAACUCUGACGUUCAAGGCCAUGAUCAGAUAAUAUCUAGCUUUGUCACAAAUGGUGCAUCUGUUUGGGUUGAGGGUGUUUUGGUAGAAAGUCAAGGAUCAAAGCAGGAGGUGGAGCUAAAGGUUGAGAAGCUUGACACAGUUGGUCAAAGUGAUCCAUCCUUUCCUAUUCAAAAGAAAAAGGCAAGUAGAGAAUAUCUGAAAACUAUUGCCCACCUCCGUCCUCGGACAAACACAUUUGGUGCAGUAUGUUUGGAAACUUCAUUUUAUCUUUCAUAUGUUGGAAUUUAACUAUCAUUUUUUUUCUUUUUUGAGAAGUCAGUUUUUGAAUGGCUGAUUGGUAAGUGUAAGCAUUUUCUUCAUUUUUCUUUGCCUCAAGGACAUGAUAAUGGUUGGAGGUGAUUUUCUUUUAAA